GAGCGAGGUCUUCGGGCCUAGCGGCGGACGGGUUAGUAACGCGUGGGAACGUGCCCUUCACUACGGAAUAGUCCCGGGAAACUGGGUUUAAUACCGUAUACGCCCUUCGGGGGAAAGAAUUUCGGUGAAGGAUCGGCCCGCGUCUGAUUAGGUAGUUGGUGGGGUAAUGGCCUACCAAGCCUACGAUCAGUAGCUGGUUUUAGAGGAUGAUCAGCAACACUGGGACUGAGACACGGCCCAGACUCCUACGGGAGGCAGCAGUGGGGAAUCUUAGACAAUGGGCGCAAGCCUGAUCUAGCCAUGCCGCGUGAGUGAUGAAGGCCUUAGGGUCGUAAAGCUCUUUCGCUGGGGAAGAUAAUGACGGUACCCAGUAAAGAAACCCCGGCUAACUCCGUGCCAGCAGCCGCGGUAAUACGGAGGGGGUUAGCGUUGUUCGGAAUUACUGGGCGUAAAGCGCGCGUAGGCGGACUGUUAAGUCGGGGGUGAAAUCCCGGGGCUCAACCCCGGAACGGCCUUCGAUACUGGCAGUCUGGAGUUCGAGAGAGGUGAGUGGAAUUCCGAGUGUAGAGGUGAAAUUCGUAGAUAUUCGGAGGAACACCAGUGGCGAAGGCGGCUCACUGGCUCGAUACUGACGCUGAGGUGCGAA
rnacentral:rRNA from 1 species